rnacentral:lncRNA from 1 species
UUUUUUUUUUUUUUUAAAAAGAUUUUAUUUAUUUAUCCAUGAGAGAUACACAGAAAGGCAGAGACAUAGGCAGAGGGAGAAGCAGGCUCCCUACAGGGAUCAGGACCUGAGCCAAAGGCAGAUGCUCAACCACUGAGCCACCCAGGCAACCCUCCUACUGGGUGCUUCUUAUCUGCAGGGAUCUCGCCUUUUUAUCUCAACAGCUCCAGUGCCUAGCACAGUGUGUGGCAUUUAGGGGGCACUCGAUAAAUCCUUGUGAAACAGGACAGAUAGUGGAGCCUACAACUUUCUCGCACAAGUUUAUGUGCUAAACCAGAGAGUAUAGUCAUCUCUGGAUUCUGUAUUCCUCCAGAGUAGAGAUUUAUUCACUUGUAUCCCCAGAGCAAGUGUAGUACCCUAGUAAGGAUGUUGAUUGAAUGAGUGAAUAAGGAAGGAAGGAGAAGAGAAGAGAAUGGAAGGGAAGAGGGAAGGGAAGGGAAGGGAAGGGAAGGGAAGAGAAGAGAGGAGAAGAGAAGAGAAAGAAAGGAAAAAGGGCAGCCCAGGUUGCUCAGUGGUUUAGCUCUGCCUUCAGCCCAGGUUGUGAUCCUGGAGACCCAGGAUCGAGUCCCACGUCGGGCUCCCUGCAUGGAGCCUGCUUCUCCCUCUGCCUGUGUCUCUGCCUCUCUCUCUCUCUCUCUCUCUCUCUCUCUGUGUCUCUCAUGAAUAAAUAAAUAAACUUUUAAAAAAGAAAAAGAAAGAAGGAAGGAAGAUAUCUGGCUCUUUUCACACUCAGAAAGAAUACCUAAAGGACUCACUGCUGUAGAUUGUCAAUGAUUAUGCUUUAGUGUUAUCUGCAUACAUCUCCCAUUAGUGGUAAGUAGUAACUUAAUUCACAGUCGUUUGUUUGACUGUUUUCUUUAGGAGUAAAGCUCAGAAUUUAAUUUCUAUGUUUCAUUUCCAAUCUAGUUUUCAGAAUAACAGCUCUCUGAAAAUUAUAGAGAAUCUGUGUGUGUGACAGUAAAUAAAAGUAUAUCAAUCAUUAAAGAGUACAACUCAUUAACUAUUACAUCACAAAGCAUUAGUGCUUAAUAUGUGCCAAACUCUAUCCUUAGCAUUUUACAAAUAUUAACUCAUAACAAUUUUAUGAGGCAAGUACUAUUAUUAUCUUCAUUUUAUAGAAGAGGAAAUUGAAGCUUAUAGAGUUCAAGUGACUUGCCUAAGACCACACACAGGUAGUAACUAAGUAGGGUCUGAACUUAACCUCUUGUUUAGUUUUAACAGUGGUUAAUGGUGAGGUCACAGUUAAUAGCAGUAGCUAAUGGUGCAGGCUUUAAAACAUUAGACAACCUAGCUUCAGGUCCAGGCUCCUCCUCUCUUGGGAUCAAAUUUAUUUGACUACACUGUGCUUCAGUCUUCUCAUCUGUGAAACAGGGGUGAUAACAAUAUUUCAAAUGGGUCUUAUGAAGACUGAAUAUGAUAAUGCAUGUAAAGUGUUUAGCAUCUUACCUGGAACACAUCAAGCACUGAAUAAUUAUUAGCCAAUGUUCUUACACGUGCCUUGAAGGCAGUGCAAUCUUGGAAUCCUGCAGAAUUGAAUGGGAGACUUAAUCCAACCUCACAUUAAAUGUGAGACGUAGGGCAAAAGCACUUGGUGUACAAUAGGUUUUCGAUAGCUUUUUGUUCCAUUCUAUCUCCUUCAUUCCCCCAUCUCUGUCUGCGUAUCUGUUAAUUCAGAUACACACACUACUCACUAUCCAGUUGAUAGGAAAUAACAUUUUUGCAUGAAUUUUAAUGAAUAAUACAGUUUAGGAUCUAGAAUUUCAUGUUCCAAAAUAAAAAGAAAGGUAUUGAAAUUUCAAAGGCAGCUACAGCUUCUGUGAUUACUUUAAUUUCGAAUGCACAUAUAGUAUUCCUUGCAUUCGCACAUUAUAGAAAGUGCUUUUGUGGCAAGGGAUUGCUUUCAAAACUAAUCUAAGCUCUCCAUGACAUGAUAAAUCAUUAAUAAUAUAGACCCAAAUCUCGGCAUCUGCAUGGGCACAGCUGGCCUCCUUGUGUCAACAGUCUGCAUAUGAAAGUGACUCUGCCAAGAUAUUUCACUUUAAUGAAAAAUAUUUAUCACGGUAAAUCUUAAACCUCAAGAUUUUACUGACAUAAUUCAUUUCUAUUAUUAUGUACUAUGAUAAGAUACCACCACAGCUAUGCUUAUGUUUGGAAUGAUAAAAAUGUGCCUUUUUAGUCAUUUUGAUUACUAUUCCUUUGCAUGAACCAUUUUUGCUAUACAGUCUAAGUAAAGGGAAUGCACUGUGCAUUUAUGGAAAUAAUAAAUCAGUUACUUAUCUAAUUUUUCCAAUGACCCCACAGAUGCCCACUGUGUGGAAGGGCACUGAGUGCUUAAGUCAAAUAAAAUCAGACUCUUUUUUUGGUACCAACAGAAAGAUGAAUGGUAAGCAGCCCUUAAUAAUACUAGCUCUUCUGAAAACAGGCAAGAGAUCGUUUGAAACAGCAGAGGCAAAAUAAACUUUUUAGAGGGAGGUUCAAACAAAAGGAUGAUAACUUAGUCAAAGUUGCUUACUUGUAUAAUAUGUACUUUGAGAAGGAGUGCUUAGGAUGUGAGGAUGCUAGCUUACAUCUCUGCAGAUAUAGGGAAACUGAGGCUCUGUGUAAAUUCCUCAGAGUCUUCUCUUCCACAAAUUUACAGUAAUCAACCCCUUGACCUUGAGGAAUUGGGGCUGAAUAAUAGCUAUUAAAUGUUAGAAUCUCUUCACAAAAAUGCAAGAUAAUAUAAAUAAUCAAAAGUGGUAGAGAAUUAGAACAUUUUAUGUUUUUUAAAGUAUAUGCUUUUUAAUUUUUUAACACAGGUAUCAAAUAUAUUUUUUAAAGAUUUUUUAUUAAAAAAAUAAAAAAAAUAAAGAUUUUUUAUUUAGAGAGAGAGAGAGCAUGCACACUAGAUGGGGGAGGGGCAGAGGGGGAGGGAGAAGCAGACCCCUGCUGAGCAGGGAGCCCAAUGCAGGGCUCAAUCCUAAGACCCUGAGAUCAUGACCUGAGCUGAAGGCAGAUGCUUAACUCACUGAGCCACCCAGGCGCUCCAAUUUGUGCUUUUGAAAUAAACCUCACUUUUUCUCCUUCGUAUCCACUCCACCCUUGCUUACUAUUAUUAUUGUUUGUUUGUUUUUGCCUCAGCCAAUGUUAAAAUUCAAAUCAACAAAGGGAGAAGAAACUGAGUACUUAUUACAUCCUAGAUACUGAUGAGCUACAAUGGAAUCCACUUAAUUUUUACCAUAACUCUUAGAGACAGGAAUCAUUUAGGAAUGAAGAAACCCAAGUUUGUUUGAGCUAACCAUCUUGUCAGGGUAUCCAGUCUCAUAGAUGAUGGAGUCUAGAGUCUACCACAGAUCUGUUUGGCUCUCAGGCCUAAUUUGCUUUCUAAGAAACCAUGCUGUAAAAAAAUGAAAAAAGCACCCAUUUGGAAAACAAUGUGUCUUGGAUAACACAGGCAAUAAAAAUAUUUGAAACCCACAACUACACUCUCAAAGAUAGGUUAAAAAUGUGGGCUUCAAUUUCUAAUUCUUGGAUAGUUGUUGCUUGUUGCAUACAAACUAGUAUUAGGAACUGUGUGAUAGGGUUUAUAGCAUACUUUAACCUUCUCUACAUUAUAUGCAUACUAUUCCCCGUAUACCUCUUCUGGAUCACUUAUAAAUAAUAAUUAAAACAACUAUUUAACAGCAUGCAAAUUUAUAUUAAAAAUAAUCCCCACUGGGUAAGCUACAAAUGUUUCAAUUAAUGGUUAGGGGCAUAUGAUGGCAACUUAAGCAAAAAA